rnacentral:rRNA from 1 species
GAUGAACGCUGGCGGCGUGCCUAAUACAUGCAAGUCGAGCGAACAGACGAGGAGCUUGCUCCUUUGACGUUAGCGGCGGACGGGUGAGUAACACGUGGGUAACCUACCUAUAAGACUGGGAUAACUUCGGGAAACCGGAGCUAAUACCGGAUAAUAUUUCGAACCGCAUGGUUCGAUAGUGAAAGAUGGCUUUUCUAUCACUUAUAGAUGGACCUGCGCCGUAUUAGCUAGUUGGUAAGGUAACGGCUUACCAAGGCAACGAUACGUAGCCGACCUGAGAGGGUGAUCGGCCACACUGGAACUGAGACACGGUCCAGACUCCUACGGGAGGCAGCAGUAGGGAAUCUUCCGCAAUGGGCGAAAGCCUGACGGAGCAACGCCGCGUGAGUGAUGAAGGUCUUCGGAUCGUAAAACUCUGUUAUUAGGGAAGAACAAACGUGUAAGUAACUGUGCACGUCUUGACGGUACCUAAUCAGAAAGCCACGGCUAACUACGUG